rnacentral:rRNA from 1 species
AACGAACGCUGGCGGCAUGCCUAACACAUGCAAGUCGAACGAGACCUUCGGGUCUAGUGGCGCACGGGUGCGUAACGCGUGGGAACCUGCCCUUAGGUUCGGAAUAACUCCCCGAAAGGGGUGCUAAUACCGGAUAAUGUCUUCGGACCAAAGAUUUAUCGCCUUUGGAUGGGCCCGCGUUGGAUUAGCUAGUUGGUAGGGUAAAAGCCUACCAAGGCGACGAUCCAUAGCUGGUCUGAGAGGAUGAUCAGCCACACUGGGACUGAGACACGGCCCAGACUCCUACGGGAGGCAGCAGUGGGGAAUAUUGGAAAAUGGGCGAAAGCCUGAUCCAGCAAUGCCGCGUGAGUGAUGAAGGCCUUAGGGUUGUAAAGCUAUUUUACCCGGGAUGAUAAUGACAGUACCGGGAGAAUAAGCUCCGGCUAACUCCGUG